rnacentral:tRNA from 1 species
GAAACUAUAGUCAAUAUAUUAUGAUAUAUAAUUUGCACUUAUAAGGAGUUAAAAACUAGUUUCG